rnacentral:rRNA from 1 species
GGGGAAACCCUGAUCCAGCCAUGCCGCGUGUAUGAAGAAGGCCUUAGGGUUGUAAAGUACUUUUGUUAGGGAAGAAAAGCUAGUUUUUAAUAAAAAUUAGUGAUGACGGUACCUAAAGAAUAAGCACCGGCUAACUACGUGCCAGCAGCCGCGGUAAUACGUAGGGUGCAAGCGUUAAUCGGAAUUAUUGGGCGUAAAGCGAGUCCAGACGGUUACUUAAGCCAGAUGUGAAAUCCCCAAGCUUAACUUGGGACGUGCAUUUGGAACUGGGUGACUAGAGUGUGUCAGAGGGAGGUAGAAUUCCACAUGUAGCGGUGGAAUGCGUAGAGAUGUGGAGGAAUACCGAUGGCGAAGGCAGCCUCCUGGGAUAACACUGACGUUGAGGCUCGAAAGCGUGGGGAGCAAACAGGAUUAGAUACCCUGGUAGUCCACGCCCUAAACGAUGACAAUUAGCUGUUGGGCUUUGAAGGGCUUAGUAGCGAAGCUAACGCGAGAAAUUGUCCGCCUGGGGAGUACGGUCGCAAGAUUA